UUUAUUUUCUCUGAUACUGAACUUUAAAAGGAGGGGUUGGAGCAAAGCGGUAGAGAAAUUUCUCCCGUUUUUUUCGGAAUUCUCUCGGCAAUGCUGGCUCCUCCAGUGGAAGGCACGCAGCUUUUGCCUCCAGCUCGGGAGCUUUGUGCCCGUCUCAUCUCACAUUUAUUUUUCCAGUGCCAGGCGCUGCCACGGGGCAUGGAAAGGGGCGUUAGUGCCGCAAAACGGGCGUUUUAAACUUAUUUUUGAAGAGAGUUUUUUGCUGGAAGGCAAAUCCCGGGCUGCGACGGCGGGGGCGAUCAGUCUCGGAUGAUCCAGGAGGAUUCUGAGCUCGGAAAUCCGGGAUUUUCGGCGCCUCCUCUCCAUGGAGGGCAUUUUCCUGCCUUCUCUGGGCACUUCUGCUGCUGCCUGGGCCAUGCGGUGCCACCGCUUCGGCGUCCUCCAGACAAAGGAAAUGCCAACAAAAGCUGCAUUUUGAAGCAAGUGGGUGCACACUGAAGGACAGCGGCAGAGAAGCUCUGAAGCCGUCCCCAGGCCUGCAGGGCUGUGCUGGCCAUGUCCAGGCAGCUCCUGCCUGUCCACAGCCUCUGUCCUGGGCACCCACAGCCUCUGCCUUGGCUAUGAGGACCUUUUGCUCCAUCCUUGACCAGGAACCCCACAGAGAGACAAACCUUUCUUGCCUCAGGGUUGGAAAGCCUCGUGGCUCCCUUCUGGUUCGCUCCAGCAAGUGCUUCCUUCCUCAAGUGGAGGUUUUGGUAAUUCAGGAUAUUUUAAUAGUUCACCCCAAAGGCUGAACAGUAGCUGCAUGCCUUCAAAGGCACCCAUGGAACCCAGAGCAGAAGGAGGCUGAAGCCUGAAAACAAUCAAAUUCAUUUCCAUCAGACCAUCUCAGCCUCUGAUGUGAUGCUGUCCUCAGCUUCAGCUCACCUCCAAACCAACAUGAAAAAAAGAACCAAACCAGGAAAAAACCCACAAACCCCAAACCUAAACUGAAUACCAAAAUUCUCCCUUUCUGUAGUGGCAGGGAGCUCUGUUUUGUCUGGGUAAAAUUGGGUGAAGUGUCCCCCCGGCACCUACCCCGGCUCAGCUGCCUGGAGCCCUCCAUCCAGCAGGUGCCUUUUCUUCUGCCUCAAAGGGCUUCGAUCUGGACAGCUUUUUUGGAGAAUGGCUGUUGUAAAGGAUGCCUGGCACGAACACGGCCUGAUUACAGCCCAGCUCGUUAAAAAAAUGUUCCCUAGGUAUUGAGGGGGAUAACAAGGAUAUUUAAACAUUCCCAGCGUGCACCUUUAAGCGGCAGAAAAUACGGGAAAUUGCUAUCGUUUAAUUCAGUAUUGCUCCUUUUGAGCUCCCACUGGCUCUGCCUGCAAUUGUUCCUUCACCAGAGCUCGGAGCCGAGUCUGGAUUACGGCAGCAUCGGGUCCGGAGGGCUGGGAGGGCUGAGCACAGCAGGACCAGCUUCCCCACAUGGCAAAAGGCUGAUGGGGCUGGUUUCCAUUUGGAUUCUGAAAGAUUUCCCUCAAUAGCCCAGAGCAGGGUCUGGGUUUGAGGCCCACAGCCCCAGUUUGUAAUUACUCUCAUAUUUUGUGUGCGCCAGGGAGAGGGUGGAGCAGCGUUUCUUUUUUGUCUGUAUCUCUGAGGAAGCUUUUUCCAAAGAGAGAGCAAAAAAAAUCCACAGCUGGUGUUGGUGGAUGAGACACUCACCAUGUUCUGGUAGGGGGAAAAAAGACAAAGU
rnacentral:lncRNA from 1 species